UUUAUAGUCUGUACAGCAAGUGACACACACUAUCCUUAGACCCUCACCUCAAGUGAGGAAAAACCCUUGUACAGGGGGAAAAAUGGGAGAAACCUCAGGAAGAGCCACAGAGGAGGGAUCCUCUUCCAGGACGGACAGACAUGCAGAAGGCUUUCCUGUGAGGACAUCAGACAUGAUCGUCACCAACGUAGGCCAUCUCUACUUUAUGAUAAAGGGUUUCAUUUCAACUCGGAAAAUGAGAACGACGCUUGAAAUGAUUCAGAAACUUCAAGAAAUGACUUGAAAUCAUCUGAAAAUGACUGGUCUCUGUUUACCUUCUCCUCCCUCCUCGUUCUCUUUGGGCU